rnacentral:rRNA from 1 species
GACGAACGCUGGCGGCGUGCUUAACACAUGCAAGUCGAACGGAAAGACCCUGCUUUUGUGGGGUGCUCGAGUGGCGAACGGGUGAGUAACACGUGAGUAACCUGCCCUUGACUUUGGGAUAACUUCAGGAAACUGGGGCUAAUACCGGAUAGGAGCUCCUGCUGCAUGGGGGGGGUUGGAAAGUUUCGGCGGUUGGGGAUGGACUCGCGGCUUAUCAGCUUGUUGGUGGGGUAGUGGCUUACCAAGGCUUUGACGGGUAGCCGGCCUGAGAGGGUGACCGGCCACAUUGGGACUGCGGUACGGCCCAGACUCCUACGGGAGGCAGCAGUGGGGAAUAUUGCGCAAUGGGCGGAAGCCUGAUGCAGCAACGCCGCGUGCGGGAUGACGGCCUUCGGGUUGUAAACCGCUUUCGCCUGUGACGAAGCGUGAGUGACGGUAAUGGGUAAAAAAGCACCGGCUAACUACGUG